AGAGUUUGAUCAUGGCUCAGGAUGAACGCUAGCUACAGGCUUAACACAUGCAAGUCGAGGGGCAGCAUGUUGGUUGCUUGCAACCAACGAUGGCGACCGGCGCACGGGUGAGUAACGCGUAUCCAACCUACCCUUGUCCAUCGGAUAACCCGUCGAAAGGCGGCCUAACACGAUAUGCGGUUCACGGCAGACAUCUAAGGUGAACGAAAUGUGAAGGAGAAGGAUGGGGAUGCGUCUGAUUAGCUUGUUGGCGGGGUAACGGCCACCGAAGGCUACGAUCAGUAGGGGUUCUGAGAGGAAGGUCCCCCACGAUUGGAACUGAGACACGGUCCAAACUCCUACGGGAGGA
rnacentral:rRNA from 1 species